rnacentral:misc_RNA from 1 species
GAUGAAGAACGUAGCGAAAUGCGAUAAGUAAUGUGAAUUGCAGAAUUCAGUGAAUCAUCGAAUCUUUGAACGCACAUUGCGCCCCCUGGUAUUCCGGGGGGCAUGCCUGUCCGAGCGUCAUUACAACCCUCAAGCUCUGCUUGGUGUUGGGCCCCGCCGCCCCGGCGGGCCCUAAAGUCAGUGGCGGUGCCAUCCGGCUCCGAGCGUAGUAAUUCUUCUCGCUCUGGAGGUCCGGUUGUGUGCUUGCCAUCAACCCCCAAUUUUUUUCAGGUUGACCUCGGAUCAGGUAGGGAUACCCGCUGAACUUAAGCAUAUCAAUAAGCGGAGGA